UCGAAACAAAGUAGAGGCACCUGAAGGUGCCUCUAAA
rnacentral:rRNA from 1 species